AGAGUUUGAUCCUGGCUCAGAUUGGACGCUAGCGGGAUGCUUUACACAUGCAAGUCGGACGGCAGCACGAAGAGCUUGCUCUUUGGUGGCGAGUGGCGAACGGGUGAGUAAUGUAUCGGAACGUGCCCAGUAGCGGGGGAUAACUACGCGAAAGCGUGGCUAAUACCGCAUACGCCCUACGGGGGAAAGGGGGGGAUCGCAAGACCUCUCACUAUUGGAGCGGCCGAUAUCGGAUUAGCUAGUUGGUGGGGUAAAGGCCUACCAAGGCGACGAUCCGUAGCUGGUUUGAGAGGACGACCAGCCACACUGGGACUGAGACACGGCCCAGACUCCUACGGGAGGCAGCAGUGGGGAAUUUUGGACAAUGGGGGCAACCCUGAUCCAGCCAUCCCGCGUGUGCGAUGAAGGCCUUCGGGUUGUAAAGCACUUUUGGCAGGGAAGAAAC
rnacentral:rRNA from 1 species